GGAUGUGAUCAUACCAGCACUUAAUCAUGGGAUCCCAUCAGAACUCUGAAGUUAAGCAUGCAUGGGCGAGAGUAGUACUAGGAUGGGUGACCUCCUGGGAAGUCCUCGUGCUGCAUUCC
rnacentral:rRNA from 16 species